AUGGCUCUUCUCAUGCUGAGCUGUGAAGGAUUUCAGAAGCAUGAGGAUAGAUUCCAGGCAACACAUAUUGGCCAUCGGUUGCUUUACUCCCCUGCUGCUGAUAAUAGCUACAGGGACGAUGUCACUGCUGCUGCUGCUGCUGCAGAUGAUAAUAUAAUAGAUGGCAGCAUUCUCAGCAAGAAGAAUCUUCAAAGUUUGCCCGCUAAUGAGGAUUUUCUCUCAAUUGAGGAUAAUCCAGUGGAUGAGCUAGAAUUGGAUGAUGGGUUGGGAAUUGUUGAGAGGGUUAGUCCCAUUGAAUAUAUCAAGAGGUUACUGUUGAUGAGAUCAGCACUGGGUGAUUCUUCUAUUGAGCUAGGUAUUAACACUGUCAUGCACAUGCUUCCAGAGUCUUCUAGGGACUGUAGGCAUACUGGGGACCUCUAUUGGCAUGGUUAUUAUCAGAUGAACAAAUUAUCUCCAACUGCCUUGCCGCCGAUGCGGUACACUCACUGUGCAUCUUCAAACGAGCUUCGGUGUUUCCAUAAGCCGCGUGCUAUGCUCCAAGUCUUUUGUAUUAAGUUGAAAUCAUAUCUGGAAGAUGCGGGUGGGCCAAUUGAGGUGUAUGGGUUUAUUGCAAUUCGUGAUGCGGAAGACUAUCGGCGCAACUACGUUUUCAACCGAUCUCGUGAUAACCCAAUCAUUGUCAACAAGACCAGUGACUACCUGACUUUGGUGAGCCCUAGCAGAGGCAUUUCAAUGACAAUCGAUUGCCUGAUGGAAAUAGAUCUGAGAGCCAAGGGACCCAUGGAAGACGUGACUCUGGUGGAUGGGUGCUGUGAUUUCGUGGAGGGCCGUUGCGUGUACGACACGGAGCUGGAGUGCACCCUGGAUGGCACCAACGGCACUCUCAUCUUUGAUCUCAUCGUGUUUCGAAGAGCGCUGGAGGCGACCGUAGAGCUGUGUUUCACCAAGGUGCCCGCGGGAGGCUUUGAGCUGAAGAUGUGCGGGUACACCGCGGUUUCAGAGAGCCUGUACCUCUUUGCCGGUGAGCAGUGCGACUGCGAUGGCUUGGUCGCCUCGGCCGGGAAGCACCCGCAGAGGUUCGUCGCAGCCAUACCGUUCGAUGACACGCUCUUCAUCGAUUUCAUGGAGGGGAGGCUGCCUGUCCCGUUUAAGGCGACGUCCGUUCAUGGCUGCCUAGAGAAGGAGUACUGCUUCUGCAACGGCGCUGUGGUGAGCGUGAAGGUGUCGUGGUCAACGAGCUUCUACUAA
rnacentral:rRNA from 1 species